rnacentral:rRNA from 1 species
UACGAAGGGGGCGAGCGUUGUUCGGAUUUACUGGGCGUAAAGGGCGCGCAGGCGGCUCAUUUUGUCAGGCGUGAAAUCCCUCGGCUUAACCGGGGAACUGCAUCUGAUACUGGAUGGCUUGAGUUCGGGAGAGGGAUGCGGAAUUCCAGGUGUAGCGGUGAAAUGCGUAGAUAUCUGGAGGAACACCGGUGGCGAAGGCGGCAUCCUGGACCGACACUGACACUGAGGAGUGAAAGCCAGGGGAGCAAACGGG